GUCCCUGUCGAUUAGUGGUUAAAUCAUCACGUUGUGGUAGAGGCAUGGUCUCCUCCGGCCUCCAGCUCCGUGAAGCCGCCGGCUCGACUCCGGCCAGGGACA